rnacentral:rRNA from 1 species
GAUGAACGCUGGCGGCGUGCUUAACACAUGCAAGUCGAACGGAAAGGCUCCUGCUUGCCGGGGUACUCGAGUGGCGAACGGGUGAGUAACACGUGGGUGAUCUGCCCUGCACUUCGGGAUAAGCCUGGGAAACUGGGUCUAAUACCGGAUAGGACCACAUUUUGGAUGGUGUGGUGGAAAGUUUUUCGGUGUGGGAUGAGCUCGCGGCCUAUCAGCUUGUUGGUGGGGUAAUGGCCUACCAAGGCGUCGACGGGUAGCCGGCCUGAGAGGGUGUACGGCCACAUUGGGACUGAGAUACGGCCCAGACUCCUACGGGAGGCAGCAGUGGGGAAUAUUGCACAAUGGGCGCAAGCCUGAUGCAGCGACGCCGCGUGGGGGAUGACAGCCUUCGGGUUGUAAACUCCUUUCGCUAGGGACGAAGCGCAAGUGACGGUACCUGGAGAAGAAGCACCGGCUAACUACGUG